UUCGUAGGCGGUCAAGUAAGUCAGGGGUGAAAUCUAACGGCUUAACCGUUAAAUUGCCUUUGAUACCGCUUGACUUGAGGACAUGAGAGGAAAGCGGAAUUCUCGGUGUAGCGGUGAAAUGCGUGGAUAUCGAGAGGAACACCAGUGGCGAAGGCGGCUUUCUGGCAUGUUUCUGACGCUGAGGAACGAAAGUCAGGGGAGCGAACGGGAUUAGAUACCCCGGUAGUCCUGACCGUAAACGAUGGGCACUAGGUGUGGGAGGUAUCGACCCCUUCCGUGCCGCAGCUAACGCAUUAAGUGCCCCGCCUGGGGAGUACGGCCGCAAGGUUGAA
rnacentral:rRNA from 1 species